rnacentral:rRNA from 1 species
UACAGAGGUCUCAAGCGUUGUUCGGAUUCAUUGGGCGUAAAGGGUGCGUAGGCGGCGCGGUAAGUCGGGUGUGAAAUCUUGGAGCUUAACUCCGAAACUGCAUUCGAUACUGCCGUGCUUGAGGACUGGAGAGGAGACUGGAAUUUACGGUGUAGCGGUGAAAUGCGUAGAUAUCGGGAGGAACACCAGUGGCGAAGGCGGCUUCCUGGCCUGCUCUUGACGCUGAGGCGCGAAAGCGUGGGGAGCAAACAGG